rnacentral:tRNA from 4 species
AGCUUUAUAUUCAAUAAUGAUAUAAAAUUGCAAAUUUUAAGGUGUAAUAAUUACUAAGGCUU